GCCGGGCAUGGUGGUGCAUGCCUGUAAUCCCAGCUACCUGGGAGGCUGAGGCAUGAGACUCACUUGAACCCAGGAGGCAAAGGUUGCAGUGAGCCAAGAUCAUGCCACUGCACUCUAGCCUGGGUGACAGAGUGAGACUCUGCCUCAA
ensembl:misc_RNA Metazoa_SRP Metazoan signal recognition particle RNA